AGAGUUUGAUCCUGGCUCAGGACGAACGCUGGCGGCGUGCUUAACACAUGCAAGUCGAGCGAGAGCCAGUUGAGGGGUAACCCUCGGCUGGGGACAGCGGCGAACGGGUGCGUAACACGUGGGCAACCUGCCCCUGACACUGGGAUAACCCCGGGAAACCGGAGCUAAUACCGGAUACUCUCGGCCGAUCACAUGGCUGGCCGAGGAAAGGUCCGCCGGUCAGGGAUGGGCCCGCGGCCUAUCAGCUUGUUGGUGAGGUAACGGCCCACCAAGGCGACGACGGGUAGCUGGUCUGAGAGGACUACCAGCCACACUGGAACUGAGAUACGGUCCAGACUCCUACGGGAGGCAGCAGUGGGGAAUAUUGCACAAUGGGCGAAAGCCUGAUGCAGCGACGCCGCGUGAGGGAUGAAGGCCUUCGGGUCGUAAACCUCUUUCGGCAGGGACGAAGCGAUCAGUGACGGUACCUGCAGAAGAAGCCCCGGCUAACUACGUGCCAGCAGCCGCGGUAAGACGUAGGGGGCGAGCGUUGUCCGGAUUCAUUGGGCGUAAAGCGCGCGUAGGCGGCUGCGCAAGUCGGUUGUGAAAUUCCGGGGCUCAACCCCGGAACUGCGUCCGAUACUGCGUGGCUAGAGGUAGGUAGGGGAGAUCGGAAUUCCUGGUGUAGCGGUGAAAUGCGCAGAUAUCAGGAGGAACACCGGUGGCGAAGGCGGAUCUCUGGGCCUUACCUGACGCUCAGGCGCGAAAGCUAGGGGAGCGAACAGGAUUAGAUACCCUGGUAGUCCACGCCCUAAACUAUGGAUACUCGACAUUUGCGAUAAACUGCAAGUGUCUGAGCGAAAGCAUUAAGUAUCCCACCUGGGAAGUACGAUCGCAAGAUUAAACUCAAAGGAAU
rnacentral:rRNA from 1 species